AUUGAACGCUGGCGGCAGGCCUAACACAUGCAAGUCGAACGGUAACAGGAAGAAGCUUGCUUCUUUGCUGACGAGUGGCGGACGGGUGAGUAAUGUCUGGGAAACUGCCUGAUGGAGGGGGAUAACUACUGGAAACGGUAGCUAAUACCGCAUAAUGUCGCAAGACCAAAGAGGGGGACCUUCGGGCCUCUUGCCAUCGGAUGUGCCCAGAUGGGAUUAGCUAGUAGGUGGGGUAACGGCUCACCUAGGCGACGAUCCCUAGCUGGUCUGAGAGGAUGACCAGCCACACUGGAACUGAGACACGGUCCAGACUCCUACGGGAGGCAGCAGUGGGGAAUAUUGCACAAUGGGCGCAAGCCUGAUGCAGCUAUGCCGAGUGUAUGAAGAAGGCCUUCGGGUUGUAAAGUACUUUCAGCGGGGAGGAAGGGAGUAAAGUUAAUACCUUUGCUCAUUGACGUUACCCGCAGAAGAAGCACCGGCUAACUCCGUG
rnacentral:rRNA from 1 species